UCAACUUGAAUUUGGGUUUAUAACUUAGGUUUGGGUGGCGGACGGGUGAGUAACGCGUAAAGAACUUGCCUCACAGCUAGGGACAACAUUUAGAAAUGAAUGCUAAUACCUGAUAUUAUGGUUAUAGGGCAUCCUAUAAUUAUGAAAGCUAAAUGCACUGUGAGAGAGCUUUGCGUCCCACUAGCUAGUUGGAGAGGUAACAGCUCACCAAGGCGAUGAUGGGUAGCCGGCCUGAGAGGGUGAACGGCCACAAGGGGACUGAGACACGGCCCUUACUCCUACGGGAGGCAGCAGUGGGGAAUAUUGGACAAUGGACCGAGAGUCUGAUCCAGCAAUUCUGUGUGCACGAUGAAGUUUUUCGGAAUGUAAAGUGCUUUCAGUUGGGAAGAAAAAAAUGACGGUACCAACAGAAGAAGUGACGGCUAAAUACGUGCCAGCAGCCGCGGUAAUACGUAUGUCACGAGCGUUAUCCGGAUUUAUUGGGCGUAAAGCGCGUCUAGGUGGUUAUGUAAGUCUGAUGUGAAAAUGCAGGGCUCAACUCUGUAUUGCGUUGGAAACUGUAUAACUAGAGUACUGGAGAGGUAAGCGGAACUACAAGUGUAGAGGUGAAAUUCGUAGAUAUUUGUAGGAAUGCCGAUGGGGAAGCCAGCUUACUGGACAGAUACUGACGCUGAAGCGCGAAAGCGUGGGUAGCAAACAGGAUU
rnacentral:rRNA from 1 species